GAUGAACGCUGGCGGCGUGCCUAAUACAUGCAAGUCGAGCGAACAGACGAUGAUCUUGCUCCUCUGACGUUAGCCGCGCACGGGUGAGUAACACGUGUAUAACCUACCUAUCAUACUGGUAUCACUUCGGGAAACCGGAUCUAAUACCGGAUAAUAUAUUGAACCGCAUUGUUCAUUAGUGAAAGACGGUUUUGCUGGCACUUAUAGAUGGAUCCGCGCCGCAUUAGCUAGUUGGUAAGGUAACGGCUUACCAAGGCAACGAUGCGUAGCCGACCUGAGAGGGUGAUAGGCCACCUUGGAAGUGAGACAGGGCCCAGACGACUACGGGAGGCAGCAGUAGGGAAUCGUCCGCAAUGGGCGAAAGCCUGACGGAGCAAGGGCGCGUGAGUGAUGAAGGUCUUCGGAUCGUAAAACUCUGUUAUUAGGGAAGAACAAAUGUGUAAGUAACUAUGCACGUCUUGACGGUAACUAAUCAGAAAGCCACGGCUAACUACGUG
rnacentral:rRNA from 1 species